GUAUACGUUAUUCUAGCCAAAAAUUCAACAAUUAUAACAUCCCAUACAUAUCCAUUCACAGUCCAAGUACAGAAACAACUCUAAUUACAACAUCUAUUAUCAAAUUUCUAAUAAAAUAACUAAGAAUAUAGAACUUAUUUCGUAAAAGUUUAGUUUAAUGGAGUCUUGGUUGGGUAGUAAAUUUAUACGAUAUCCUUGUUGCUCUUAAUCCCAACUCACUAUUCCACUUCUUUUCCUUUUCGCCAAAACUGUUGAAGCUUGCCAAAAUUUAGACAAGUUUGCUAAGCCUUCGGGUAUUAUGGAAUUUGAUAGGUAUAAAGAAAAGGAUUGGAACGGAUGGGAGGUUUAAGACAGAGAUAGAAGAGCUGAGGUUAGUUAAGCUUAACAAGCCUUGUAACAUGUAUUGAUGUGAGUUGUUGAAGGAGCAAUUAUAGGAAUAAAAUAUUUUAGUUACCGGUUUAGUUUUAUUUGAUUGUAAAUCAUCUAAGAUUGUAG
rnacentral:lncRNA from 1 species